rnacentral:rRNA from 1 species
ACGGAGCAAUACCGCGUGCGGGAGGACGGCCUUUGGGUUGUAAACCGCUUUUCUCAGGGAAGAAGUUCUGACGGUACCUGAGGAAUCAGCAUCGGCUAACUCCGUGCCAGCAGCCGCGGUAAUACGGGGGAUGCAAGCGUUAUCCGGAAUUAUUGGGCGUAAAGCGUCCGCAGGUGGUUUGUCAAGUCUGCUGUUAAAGCGUGGAGCUUAACUCCAUAUCGGCGGUGGAAACUGAUGAACUAGAGGGUGGUAGGGGUCACGGGAAUUCCCAGUGUAGCGGUGAAAUGCGUAGAUAUUGGGAAGAACACCAGCGGCGAAAGCGCGUGACUGGGCCAUUACUGACACUCAUGGACGAAAGCUAGGGGAGCGAAAGGGAUUAGAUACCCCUGUAGUCCUAGCCGUAAACGAUGGACACUAGGUGUUGCCCGAUCGACCCGGGCAGUGCCGUAGCUAACGCGUUAAGUGUCCCGCCUGGGGAGUACGCACGCAAGUGUGAAACUCAAAGGAAUCGACGGGGGCCCGCACAAGCGGUGGAGUAUGUGGUUUAAUUCGAUGCAACGCGAAGAACCUUACCAGGGCUUGACAUGUCGCGAAUCCCCUUGAAAGGGGGGAGUGCCUUCGGGAGCGCGAGCACAGGUGGUGCAUGGCUGUCGUCAGCUCGUGUCGUGAGAUGUUGGGUUAAGUCCCGCAACGAGCGCAACCCACGUUUCUAGUUGCCAGCAUUCAGUUGGGCACUUUAGAGAGACUGCCGGUGACAAACCGGAGGAAGGUGUGGAUGACGUCAAGUCAGCAUGCCCCUUACGUCCUGGGCUACACACGUACUACAAUGCUUCGGACAGAGGGUUGCCAGCCCGCGAGGGUGCGCUAAUCCCGUAAACCGAGGCUCAGUUCAGAUUGCAGGCUGCGACUCGCCU